rnacentral:rRNA from 1 species
AGCUUGCUGCUUCGCUGACGAGUGGCGGACGGGUGAGUAAUGUCUGGGAAACUGCCUGAUGGAGGGGGAUAACUACUGGAAACGGUAGCUAAUACCGCAUAACGUCGCAAGACCAAAGAGGGGGACCUUCGGGCCUCUUGCCAUCGGAUGUGCCCAGAUGGGAUUAGCUUGUUGGUGGGGUAACGGCUCACCAAGGCGACGAUCCCUAGCUGGUCUGAGAGGAUGACCAGCCACACUGGAACUGAGACACGGUCCAGACUCCUACGGGAGGCAGCAGUGGGGAAUAUUGCACAAUGGGCGCAAGCCUGAUGCAGCCAUGCCGCGUGUAUGAAGAAGGCCUUCGGGUUGUAAAGUACUUUCAGCGGGGAGGAAGGGAGUAAAGUUAAUACCUUUGCUCAUUGACGUUACCCGCAGAAGAAGCACCGGCUAACUCCGUGCCAGCAGCCGCGGUAAUACGGAGGGUGCAAGCGUUAAUCGGAAUUACUGGGCGUAAAGCGCACGCAGGCGGUUUGUUAAGUCAGAUGUGAAAUCCCCGGGCUCAACCUGGGAACUGCAUCUGAUACUGGCAAGCUUGAGUCUCGUAGAGGGGGGGUAGAAUUCCAGGUGUAGCGGUG